ACCGUGUUGUUGUGACGUCAGGUUCAGGAAGGUAGCUACUAGCGGUCGGCGGCCCUUUGGGUGAGCUUAUGUAGCUUAUCUACUAUUCUGAAAGCAUCAAAAUCGGAAUAAUGACCAGUGGGUAUCACCAUAUUCUUUAACUGAGGAAACCAGCGUGAACUUGCCCAGACCAGACCAGACCAGACCAGACCAGGGCAAGAAGAGUGAGGAUGGGUUGUCUGCUGCUGCACGCAAGCUGAGGGAUGCAGAGAUAAUGCAGCAGAAGCAGAGAAGGGCAGCUGACAAGGAAGGUCAUGACCCCAAGUCCAAAUAACGUCCAGAAGACAAGACACCCGUCCCAUUGUGUCACAGGACUUCUUCUUGAUGUUAUGAGAACGGAUCUCUACAUUUUAGAUUCCUACGUUCUUCCCUUAUGGCAAAUCACACUGCUCGUUGUGGCUUAUUGGAUUCGACCGUAAUAAACUAUCUACCUGAUUGAAUUAAUAGAGCGAAGGAUUUAGCGGUUUGCCCACGUUGAUUCUGCAUGUCUCAUUCUGAACAUUAUUCUAUAGUGUAGCAUGAUGACCACCAAGCCACAAUAUACCUGUGGAUUUCUAUAGCAAACUGUGUGCCCCGCUGAUUCCAAAUAAAGUGUAUGUCUUUUUAGUUCAUGUUUUCUUGUGUUAUUUAGCACCAUAACUGAAGCCUUGGGGUUAGGGGUUAGGGGUAGGGGGUAGGGGUUAGGGUUAACCAUAACCCUUGUGUUAUUUAGCACCAUAACUGAAGCCUUAGGGUUAUGGGUAGGGGUUAGGGUUUAGGGGUUAUGGGUAGGGGUUAGGGGUUAGUGGGUAGGGGUAGGGGUUAUGGGGUUAGGGUUAACCAUAACCCUUGUUAUUUAGCACCAUAACUGAAGCCUUAGGGUUAUGGGUAGGGGUUAGGGUUAUGGGUUAGGGGUAGGGGUUAUGGGUUAGGGGUUAACCAUAACCCUUGUGUUAUUUUGCACCAUAACUGAAGCCUUAGGGUUAGGGGUUAGGGUUUAUUGGUUAAGGGGUUAACCAUAACCCUUGUGUUAUUUAGCACCAUAACUGAAGCCUUAGGGGUAGGGGUUAGGGGUUAGGGUUUAGGGGUAGGGGGUUAGGGGUUAACCAUAACCCUUGUGUUAUUUAGCACCAUAACUGAAGCCUUAGGGGUAGGGGUUAGAGUUAGGGGUAGGGUUUAGGGGUUAAGGGGUUAACCAUAACCCUUGUGUUAUUUAGCACCAUAACUGAAGCCUUAGGGGUAGGGGGUAGGGGUUAGGGGUUAACCAUAACCCUUGUGUUAUUUAGCACCAUAACUGAAGCCUUAGGGGUAGGGGUUAGGGGUUAACCAUAACCCUUGUGUUAUUUAGCACCAUAACUGAAGCCUUAGGAUCCUCUAGCAGCUGAAGCCACAGCAUCAGAGCUCUGAUGCUCAUAACUCUCAUAACUGAAGCCUUAGGAUCCUCUAGCAGCUGAAGCCUUAGGGGUAGGGGGUAGGGGUUAGGGGUUAGGGGGUAGGGGUUAGGGUUAACUCUCAUAACUGAAGCCUUAGGAUCCUCUAGCAGCUGAAGCCACAGCAUCAGAGCUCUGUUCUAGUUUAUCCUCUGUCACCAUUUGAGACGUGUUAAUACUGCCUACCUCUAAUAUAGAUAUUGGACUCAACAGAGGAGGUUGUUUUGUCAGAGCAGAGAUGUGGCAUGCUAUUGAGAGGUACUACCCUUCAUUGGAAAUGAACAGUAGCAAUAAGGGUAGUCUGAUUCAUCAGGCUGUAAGACACCAUUCAUUGGUCUAUACAGCCUGAAACUAAUCCCUGCAAAAUCAUGUCAAUGUUUCUUACAAUCCAGAAUGUUGAAAUUAAAUGACAUUUAAACUCUA